GCUGGGCGUGGUGGCGCACGCCUGUAGUCCCAGCUACCUGGGAGGCUGAGGCAGGAGAAUCGCUUGAACCCAGGAGGCAGAGGUUGCAGUGAGCCAAGAUUGCGCCACUGUACUCUAGCCUGGGCAACAGAGCGAGACUCCGACUCAA
rnacentral:SRP_RNA from 1 species